UUUAAAAUUUUGCAUGUUUUUCUUUUCAACUGGAUGACAAAGAUUUACAAACUGGAAACAAUGUAAGCAUAACACAAAAAAAUAUUCCAUUUUUUAAUGGAAAACCAAAAUGUGAAAGUUAUGAGUUGCUGCUUAGGAGGUUCAGUUCAGAAAAGUUUGGUACUCAUAUUUUAUUCACCGUAAUUACUGUACAUCUACAUCAUACUUAAGUGCACGCUGGUAUUUUCUUUGGCUUCAUGAAAAGGUGUGCUUCCUUUGUGGAUGUGUAUUCAUCCUUGAAGUAGUGAAAAUGAACAGUGCCUCUUGGGUAACCAAUUUGAAAUGAACUGAAUUUGAUCUUAGUCCCUUGCGUGGUUUCUCUCAUCCCUGCUUCUUUCUAUACUGCCAAGUAGUGAUCCAGUAGGAGUUGACUUACAGAAUAGUGGUGCUGAGGACCAGUUUUAGACGGUGAGGAGUUACUUUAGGUAAGCUCUAAUUUGCUCCCAUUGACUUACUGCCCAUUAGCAGCUGGAGCACAUCUGCUGCUUUAGUUUCAUCCAGAAGGAGUCCAGUUUGUGUACUCUGAGGUUGUUCUUGGAUGUGAAUCGAAGCAUAGUAAGUGCUUCGAAAGCUUACUCUUGAUCCAGACUACAUAAUGCAUUUAUGUAUGAAGACUAAGCAGACACACCUCAUGUUGCCUUAGAGAAGUUUUCUUACUUAGAGCUUUUCUUUGCUUCUGUCUUGUCUUUCUUUCCCAAUUAGAUUACUGCCAUCUUAUUCUCCUCUAAUAAUUUUCUCUUGUGCUGUAAUAUUUUCUCUUUCCCGCAUAAUUCCAUCCUUGGUCUUUCCUCAAUUCAUUUGGGCUAGUGCUAUACCCUUUAUUUUAAAGCAAGAAAAGAGGCAUUUCUUUGGCAUAUGGCAGAAGAUAUAUCAUCUAUAACAUCAUAGUCAAUCAUGCAAACAAAUAUUUCCAGUCUGUAAAUUAGUCUUCUUUAUUAUGGUUAUUAGAAGUAGCAGCUAUCUUCUUUUCAUAUGUUCACUGUUUUUUGGGAUGAUGAUGAUGACCAUUAAAGUGUACCAGACCUCUGUUAGAUAUUACAGUGAUGAAACAAUAAAUUGGCUUGCACUUAUGAGUGUAGGCCUGCUAGGUAAACAGAUACAAAUACAAGACAGCCUGAAGUUGUGUAGGAUACUUAUCAAAAUUUAUACAGUUAGAAUAGUCUAUAGUUUAUUAAACAGUACUAUUGUUUGCAUAUUUUGUACGUUCUAAAGGUGAGCACAAUACAGUGCAAAAAGCAACUAUUCAGUGAACUUUAAUGGAGGUAAGCAAAGAGACAAGCGAAAAUAAAGGAAAACAUUAAAAUUUACAGAAACAAAAGUGAAGUGCUGUGAUUAACAAUCAGAGAAUAUUAAAGGUACUUUAGGAAAGAGAUAUUGCUGAAAAAUAGUUUAAGUUAAUUGAUAGACUCUGGUAUCUCAUGCCUGAGACUGAGAGGAAAGCUGCAAAUUGCUUUCAAGUUUUCUUUGACUAUUGCUGUCUUCUGCAAGCUCAUGCUGUCUUCUAUCCUUCCCACAAACUGGGAGUUUGUAAACUAAGAAUUUUCUCACCCAAGAGAGAAGAAACUUGAAAUUAUUUAAAAUGAAGAAGAGCCUGAAUGAAUUAGCAGUGAUGAGCUUAAGGCACAGUACUUGCAGAUGAGUUUAACAGUUGGACUACUUAACAGCAGUGACAUGUAUUUAUAGCAAUGCAGCUAAAGGCACGAUCACCUGGGGAUUUAAUGGGUUUUUACUCAUAGAAUUUCGCACUGACAAUAAUUUGGCCUGGAUCAAGUAUUUGUUUUACAGUUAAUACAAUGGGUAACUCAUUAGAGUGACAAUGAGCAGGCUUCUUAAUGGGAGAGAAAGUUCAGAAUGUGGCAACGUGUGCAAAGGCACAACUCUGCCAUCCUUGUCUCAGGGUAUAUCCUUCCUGCUCUUGUGGUACUUUACCAUGCAUCGCUGUGCUGCCAGAAAGCAAUUAUUAGCUUAUCAUUAUAACUAAAAUUAAUAUGGGAUGAGAAUAAACAAUACACCAGGGGACUCAUUAUUUGUCUUCCAGAUGCAGGGGGUGAAGAAUAUAUGGGAGUAACUGUUUGCCUUACAAUAGUAGUAUUCUGAUGGCCACAAUCCAGGCCCUGACUAAUAUCUUUGAAAUGCUGAGGACAGAAGUUAAACAGGCAUCUAGAUCCCGGACCUCGCUAGGGAACCCCUAAUUAGCACAUGGAGGGCGAAAAGCGAGGGAAGCACUGAAACUUGAAACCAGGCCAAGAGAAUAAAACCCACAGGGUUUGUGGCUAUUGCAGGUAAUAACAAAGGGAUCGUGUCUAUAGAAGGGUGAAGGAGAGAGUCCAGGGAAGGGUAAAUCAAGAAACCAGAAGAUCUGAGGAGGCAGAUUGGGAUCUGGCAGGAGAGGGUUCUGCUGCAUGUUUUGGUCAUGACUUAGGGAAGGCACAGUCACCGAGUGAUGGAUCUGCACCAAGACUUGCCUCGGUCUUUUCUGCAUAAGAACGUGCGGAAGAAUGAUGGUUGGUGCAAGGGGAAGCCAUGGAAAGCCAUGAGUGCCUGUUCAGAAAUCCAGUGGGAAAGAUGAUUCAUGCCAUGUAGUGACACAAGGGCACAAGUGCUGCACUUCAGUCGCUCCACUGAAUUCUAUGGGAUUUUCUGUCUGCUGGAUCACUGGUAAGUCAGGCUCCAUAUACCGAAAGCGUUUGUUUCAGAAAGAUGUAGGAAAUGCUUGGGCUGUGAUCAAGGAAACAGGAAUUUUAACAUUUGUUUCAACCUGUUCCAAAGUUCAUCUUACAUUUCCUUGACCAUUUGUGUAAUCAAUCUGUUAGUGCUCAGUAGAAACUAGGACAAAAGGAUCUGAUCUUUCUUGUGCAUUUGAUGUAAUUGCUUCUAUUUACAGAGGUGGAAUAGAUUCUGCAAAUUCUAGCAGAUAUUUCAUAAGCAAAAAUGUGAAAUGAUACCCAAAAAGAGGAUUAGAAUCGAACUCCUGUAGUAAAAUUAUCUCCCAGUUUUGUUUUUAGGGCAUGUAAAAAUUACUUUGACAUUGGCUUUUGCCAGCAGAGGAGUCCGUUAAAUACAAUCAAUCUCUUAGCUCAUGUCAGGAAGACAGCGAUAGAGAAGAUGACUCUUACUAAAGGUAAGACAAAAUUUAAGUAAUUUUGUAUUUUGUUACAGUGUUUGCAUACAAAAUAAGAUUUCUUCAUGUGAGCUCAUUUUUUUUUUUUUUUGGCUUAUUUUGAGGUUUUUCAACAGAGGUGAUAAUGACCUUCAAAAUGUAAAUUAUACAGCUAAGAACUCAGAUGUGAUGGAAACUGCCUUUUUUGUUUGUUUGUUUGUUUCCUUCUUUCCUUCUAAACAACUGCUUAUUUUCAAGUAAUCAUCACAGCACACCCUAGGUGAACUUGUGUUGCUGUAAACCCUGAAAGGAAUACAGCAGUGGACUGCUUACCUUGGUGAUGAUUUUUUUAGUGUUGGUGUCGUUCAGGCAUUCAGAUGCGUAGUACUAAAUACUAAAGCAUCUAUGCACUUUUACUUUGAGUCAUUAGGAUAGACUCUGGAAAAUGCAAAGCAAAUGCUAAACAGUUGCACUCUGUCAUGAGUCAAUUUUAGUUUUCAGCAUUAAACUUUAGAGGGAAAUAUUCUUCUUUUGAUUUCCUCUGGUUUUUGAAGACAUUUAUUCUGUGCAUUGCAUAUUUAAACAUCCUUUGAAACAGAAGAGUCGAUGCUUCUUUGAGAGAAUGAAUGUUCAUAAGGAUUUUCUUUUAUCAUUGUCCAUUGUUCUGAAGAGCCAUUUCUUACAAUAUUCGUAAUUGCUUGGGUAGAGAGAGAAGAUGCUAUCCAAAUUAAUUGCAGGUGCAUUUUUUCUAAAGCUUUGGGAAGUCAUUGGAUUCAUUAAUGUGGUGCGUUCCAAACUUCUUUGCAAAUUUCUUGCAGAACCUUGUCAUUCAUUAUUUGUAUGUAUAUAUAUAUGUAUUUUUAUAACUACAUUAAGAAUUACUAUCAUUAAGGAAAGAGAUUUAGAGAUCUAGGCUUAUGAUUUCACUGAAUUAUUGAAUAUUUGGUUAAUACUUGAUUUAAAAGAAAAAAGCUUGCUACCCUAUUGAAUGAAUGUUGAUGAAUAGCAUAUUUUCAGAAACAAAGAAUAGCCUGUAAGCAACAGAAAUCAAGCAUGCAUAUGCCAUAGCAAUCACACAGCUUCUCUGAUUUGUUGACCGCUGUUCAAACAAGUUUGAUAACAGCAGUGAAGAAUUACACUAGGAGGUUUGCCAAGGUCUGAAAUACUAAGAUGCGUGUCAGGAAAACUUCUUGUGUAAAUUCCUUACUACUCCUUUUUUAAAUAGCAUUUUCCUGAAAAGAAAAAAAGAAGAAGAAAAAAAAAAGUACAUGCUUCUUAAAAUGUUAAUUUCCUCUAAAAGAUUUCCUCUGCUUCAGGAAGCUGGCAUGCAGCAAACCACUUCUAAAUCAAGCUGCAAGCCGGUACUGUAAAAAAACAAAGAGUUUAUUGGUACCAGACAUUUGUAAAUAAGUAAUUGACACUCAUGCUAUAACAAUAAGCAAUUCCAAAAAAAACAAGGAGCUGCCAGGAUAAACAAGUUUGCAAUGAACUCCAUCCAGUGCUGGAUAUCCAUUGGGGUCAGUCCCGUCAGUGGUGGUCACAAUAACAGCUCUGGGACCAGCUGGAGUUCUGCAGCGCAGCCGUCUCCUGCUUUUGUCUGUUCUUCCAUUCGGAUCCCUAGCCACGGGCAGGCUGCUAGCUGUGGCAGUGGUGUCUGCACAAUGUUCUGAGGGCUGGUGACACAUCCAAAGCCUUGUGAAUAACAUCAAACUGUAGGCACUCUUUGGUAGCAGUGAACAUGUUAAAAACAGUAUUAGAAAAUAGGGCACCUGAGCAGAAAGUUUCUGUUCAAUGCAUAGCAAAAUAUUAAUUUAAAUGAGGGAGUGCAGGCCACCUAUAUUAACUCUGUUCCUUCACUCUUGUUUCCUGCAGCUUCAGGUAGAUGCUGUGCAUCAGACUGGUGAGCAAGAUUAAAUCUCUGAAGGCUCUGGCUGUCUCAAUCUCCAUUGAAGUUGCUGGGAUCUGAAGACACAACUUUCUUAUUACGGUGCUGUUUGCUAUAAGUGUUAAUAUGGUCAAAGGAAGACUACCCACCAAAGACUGUAAGGAACAGUAGCAAAACCUUUUUAUUUUUUACAAACGCUAAUGCUACUUGGGGACCAUUUCAUUCCCCAAGUGUACAUCUGUUUGAGCAAAGGAUUCCCAGAAACAAGCAACAAGAAUAUUGAGACCAUUGCUCAAUAACCACAGCUUUUAUUUGGCAAUAGUUAUUGAGACCUGCAAGGGUUUUCCUGGGCUCAAAACUUGUCUGUUUCUUGUAGCAAUGUUUUCUGUUGGGUCAUAUGGAUUAUUUCAUGUUAUUAGAGCUGAAUACUAGUUGUCUACCAUUUCAGAUUUGCUAGCUUUUUAUCUUGUAGCAAUGUAUUUGUAUGCUGUAAUCUAUAGCAAAAUGCCAUUGUAAUUUUAAUGUCAGGUGUACCCACUGUGAGUCUCAGGUUUGUAUCGCUAUCCAGGGAAUGUGUCUGAGCUCUUUCCUUUUUAAGCCUAGUUGAAGCAGUGCAUCCAGAUGCAUUACUUUCAAAUCUUAUUCUCAAAUGUUUUAGUGGAAAUGAUGUGUGAUCAUUUUAAUCUGGCCUUUAUGUGUUUGACCGGAACUCAGCCUACAUAUUGCCGUGAGACAAGGGAAAUUGGAUGCUUUUACUUUUACAGCCAAAGUAUUCAUAUCCUUCCAGAAAAAAAGAACUAAUCUUCUGAAGCAGCAGGUAAGUAAAAGAUUUGUGGAGAAAUGGGAAAGGACAUUUAAUAUAUUUAAUCUUAUUAUACAUUUUUCUACAUUAAAAGUCAACAGGCUGCAAAUAUAUUUUGCUACAAAGCUUUUUGUAGGAAAUAUCUCUAUAAGAAAAUACAUCUCAUUAAACAUUUCCUGUAAAUAAAUUAUCCCACAUAACUAUGUUUUGUAAGAGGAGAAGGGAGAGGGUUAGGCUAGUGAUAAGAAGAGCCAAAAAUUGCUGAGCCCAUUUCUGCAACCCCACUGCUCCAUUUGGGUUACAUUUUCUUGUACACAUAGUUGAAAUGAAGGCAACAGAGCUCCUCUGUUGAGCAUGUGCUGUCAGUGUAAAUAACACAGACAGUGUUAUUUAAAAGUACAGUUCCUGUACUUUUUUAAUAUCUUGAAAUUAUGCUAUUUCUGAACCUUAUUCCUGUUUUAGGUACACAAGAACUCCUUUGAAAUAACCAAAGUGGAGCUGGUAGGACUGAGUUUGAAGUCUGACUCAGACUGUUAAAAAACAGAAGAGCCCACCCCAGAGCAGUUCCUUAUGGCAAUUAAAAAAUAACUCCAGUAAGGUAAGAGAUAUUGUGAAUUACUCUUAAUUUGCUUUCCUAAGAGUCUAAGGGCAAUGUAUUCUUAUUAGAAAAUCUGAGCCUCAGUGGAUGCAUAAGGUGUAACCUUAAAGCAACCACUGGUAGACAUGUCUCAGUGGAAAAAAGUGAUUUAGGUAUAGGAUGACGUGGUCUCGAAACUACGUAUUGGUGUAUAUAUGUUCAGAACUGAUGAAACAGAAAAGUCUUGUGUGUUACAAAAUGUGAAAAUGAGCAAUUACAAAUGGGUAAUCACAGAUUAGCAGUAGGUCAGUUAUAAAAUCAGACUUCUUAAAAGAAAUAUCAUACUCUUUAUCAACAUCUAUACAAAGGAAUUACUUGUGAACAAGUAAAAUGACAAAAGUUUAAAAAGAACUGUGAGAAAAAAAGGAUAGUCUCCAUGCUUCGACUUCUAACUGCUACACAAACAACAUAGGGUUGUUUCAAUAGUCCAUGUACUUCCAGAAUUCCUGACAGAAAAAUCCAGAGAAGAUCCCUUUAGAAGAGAUCUAGUUCAUAUUAGAUACAUGCCAGAAACUGUUAUGCUGCAUCAUCACAUGAUGCUUAAUAAGUCUUUUGUGGCUGUACCAUAUUUUCUUGCAUUGUUUUCUGCAGGAGAGGAAGUGCUCACAAGAGCCAACUCUUUUCUUCUCUUCGCUACCUCUAAAAAACAAAUCCAUUUACACUUCUGCAGAAUGCAAUCAGAUGUAGCACUAAUAGCAAACUGUAGCCCAUUGCUACUAUUGAAAAGUAAAACUUUUAGUUGAUAGCAGUACAGUCUAAAUUCCCCAACAAGUGCCUACAUCUUCUGUUAUAACAGUAACAGUGGCACAAUUUCAUAUCUCUUAAUGUUAGAUAUUCAGCACUCCGCUGUCUCUUCGGAAAUGUCUAUAAUGCAGGUAUGUUUAGGAAAAGAAAGUAUAUUUAGGUCUAAUGAGCAACUGCCUGUAUAUAAUUCUGGAUUCAGCAUGCAUGUAUUUGUUUCAUCUGCUCAAUCCAAUGUACACUAGCAGUAAACUGAGACAAAUACAAGCGAUUAAGUGCCCUACUAUGACAUUGAACUACAUAAAGCAUUUCAGUUCGCCUAAAUAUAGGAAAGAAAACCCUGUUUAAAUGACUCUGAUUAGAGAAACUGCUUGCUGUCUUGAAAUCAUGAGAUGGCAAAUUUUCACCUUUUUGUGAGGGCCUACAAAAUUUAGGAUUCUUGUAGCAGUCCUGCAAGCAUGCUUUCUUUGCUGAAGUGUCAGCCCUGUAUGACAAGCGUAUGGAGAUUCACAGUAACUGUACUUCUAUCCCUCGCACCUGCAAUGAAUAAUAUUUUAGUCACUGAUAAUGUGUUGACAGACAAGUCUUCCUGGAAUGCGCUGCUUCCUAUAGGAGUACAAUGUAUACAAUUUAUUUAGCAGGCACAGCCAUUGUGGAAAGCCACUGUAGCCCUUAUACUGGCCCCUGAAACAUCAUGGGACAACACAGCAAGGUAAAUGGCAUUAAUUUCCACUGUACUUAUUUGCAUACUAGCAUUUCCCACAGACUGUAGGAGUUAUUAGUGGGAAAUCUCUGGCUGCUCUGGUGUUUUCCACCAGCUCAAAAAGAAAUGCAUUUGAUGUGACUUUUCUCUACUCCUACCUUGUUACUUUAGCCAUUCCUCUUUCACAUGCAGUCCUCAUUUCCCAGCAUGUUGUAACACAUUAAAUACAGAAAACCAGUCACUUAAUACUUAGUACUAUCUACCCUUCAGAUUUUCUGACACACGUGAAGUCUUGAUUUAGAAGAAGAGGUUGCAUCUUUCCAUACUUUACAAGACAGCCCUUUGGCACAGUCACAUCGUUGGAAAAUCUCCAGUCCAUGGGAGCCUUUCUUGCGCUGCUUGGUGCACACCUCCCCCUGAUGCAAUACAGGCUUGCAAAUUUUGGUCCAGAAAUGGCGAGCACAGCAGUGUCCCUCAAUACAGUCUGAUGACCGCAGGCAGGGAUCACCUUCAUGUCCUAAAAAGAGCAAUCAAACUGUUUUUACCUCAGGGGAAAAUAGAAAAAGACAAAUUCAGAGUAGACUGAUGCAAAUGAAGCUCAGAAAAAGGAGAGAUGAUAUUUCCAUCUGUGGCUUUUUGAGGUACAUAAAGAGACAAGAAAAGAGAUGAAUUAGGGAGGUUCAGAAAAGUAACUGAUAAGAACUGUCACAAGACUUAGUAAGGAGAAAUUCAGCUACAGGUUUGUAGACAAAAUGAUAAAUGCAUAAAGACAUUACUCUUACAAGAGGAGGAUGUGGACAAUCUUGUAUAACUGAAAACUGAAAUUUCAAUCCCCUCUGAUGUGGGGAAGAAAGCAGAUGCUAUUCCAAUCGGGGGAAACUGGUGGUCAAUAUUACCUUGCUUUCUGAACUGUGCUCUGAAUUCUCUUAAUAGAGAUUCACAACCUAUGAACUUACUGUGUAUUCCUGGUGUGUGCUGCUGUAUUUUAACAGCAUAAUGUUAUUCAUAGCAGAACGAUGAAGUGCAAAUGUGAUCUUACCUUUAAUGUGCGACAGCUUGGACUGUGCCCUCCCUAAGUUUUGCCAUCCCAGAUCCUUGCUAGUAUAAUGACUGUUCUUCUUGUUGCGUGGCCCGUCUAGUGCAGGGAUGUGAGGCGUGAGGAUGUUUUCAGUUACUGGUACACAAAUACCUGUGAGGAAAAGUCAGUCAGUUAUAGAUUUCAACAAGAGGAGAAGAAGCUGAGGAACAUACUUGGACUAGAAUCAGCACUGAGACCAUUAAAGUGAGGGGGGUGCUGGGCUCAUCUUUGGCGACUCUCAGCUCUAAGCACAGCUCUGUCGCUGAUCCCUAGCCCCUGUCUUCACUACAGCUGCACUUCACUCUAUCACACAGUCUUGCAGUCUGACCACCUGGAGACUGUCUUGGAGACAUCUCUCCAGGUCUCAAGAGAAGAGUAUGGGAAUGCAAGCAGUACAGUUACAACAGAAACACCAAGAGGGAGUAGCUCAGGGAUUCACUGGGUCUAUUUUGCUUCCUUAAGAAUAUGGGCUCUUUGCAGAUUUCCAGAGAAUUGAACAAUGCUGAACGUAGUGUUGGAAAAAUGCUGUGAUUUCAGUCUGUGGCUUCAUCAUUUGGGGGUGUUUCUCCACAACAAAAGAGAAAAAAGUCUAGUAGUACAGAAGCCUCAAUCAUAAAAAUACUAUUAAAGAAAGUGGAGAAAAGUUGUAAAGAUACAUUAAAAAACAAUUACUUGCAGUGCAAGUAAUUAUGCAAGUUAAUGGAGUAGAAGAAAUGAUAACUAUGGCUUCAGGUAUGAGUGUGCUUCAAGGAGAGGAGGGAGGCGAAGAGGCAGGGGAGACUAAACAGCUUCUAGCAUGGCAGAGCUCUUGGAUUUUAGCUCACAAUGUACUGUUGGAGCUGAUUCUCUUUUCCCUCCUCUUCUCUCUUCCCCCCUCUUUCCAAGCCUAGGACUAUCCAGUUCUACAUUAAUAUGACAACCAUGAAUCCAGUCACUCUAAUUUUACUCUCACAUGGCCCAUGUUUCUACUUUGCUAGUUCAGCACCCAGCUUCCCUUGUCCAACAACACAAUGGAUAGAUAGCUUUUAUACAGACUGAUUAGACUGGUUUCUUAUGCAGUUUUGAAAAUCAGAUCUUAGAUUUUUUUUUUUAGAAACAGAAGAAAAAGAUCAUUCAACAACUUUUCUAAGCCAAAGGAAAAGGGGGAGAACAACUGGAGCUGAUGUUAUUUUCAAUAUCUGAAGGGAUUUUAUCUUGGUUUAGAAAAGGAACUGCAGUCACACAGGAAAAAUACCUCUGCUGAGAAAACUUCAAAAUCUAUUUUCAGUAGAUGCUAUCAAAAUGCUGAUUUUUUUGGAGGGAAAACAAGACAUGAAUGACAUACCGUUGUUGCAGCGAUUCCCAGGGCAGCACAUGCCAUCUCUGUGGCACCUUUUCUUCUUCCUCCGGCACAACAUGCACGCAGAAGAUGCUUGAUGAGGACUGUGACAGUACCGCCCAACUUCACAUUCCUUGUCAUUGGUGCAAGGAUAGACCUGGAGGGUAAAUGAAAAAGUUUGCAAUGAUGCAGUGUGUAAGACAUGCACAUAGUCCAUUAAAAACAAAACAAGAAAACAGUUGAAGAAACAUACACGUGAGUUACCGUUCACUAAGCUAGGAGAUGCAGUUAUCUUUGCAGCAGCCUUGGCCUUGGGCUUUAGCUGCUGGUGGAGCUGGAUCACUGCCUCAAGAAUGACAAAACUACAACCCGCUCCUUUGGUGGUUUCAUCUUUUCUUGCCUUAAAUAUAUGCUAUCACAACAGAACUAAUAUUUUUGUAGGUUUCAAGAUACUCAGGCCUCUCAUUCAUAGACAAGAGUUUAAAAUUCUACAAUGAAGAGAAACAGAGCCAGAAGACUCCUCUCAGUCAUGGAAAACACACUCUGCAACAGGUAACAUUUGCAUUUAGGUCAGAACUCCAAGGAGGCAUUUUUCUUUGACACAUGCCAGAUAGAAUAAGAGAUUCACCAUUCUCACAGUGAACACAGAAUCAUAAAGGUUGGUAAAGACCAAUCAUCAACCCAUCACCACCAUGCCGCUAAACCAUGUCCCUCAGUGCCACAUCUCCAUGUUUCUUGUAAACCUUCCAGGGACGGUGACUCCACCACCUCUCUGGGCAGCUUUCUGAGAUGAAAUUUUUCUUAAUAUCUAACCUGGACCUCCCUUGACACAACUUAAAGCCAUUACCAAGCAGUGCAAGGCCAUGAAUUUUGAAGCAGUCCACAUCUUCACCAGACUGGUGCAAGCUUCUUCACAAUUGCACCAUUCCACUCCAACCCAUACCAUUCAGACUUUUUGGAAGCAAACAUCUCUGAUCAGCAUUUAGCUUAGAUGGCCUUUACUUCAUUUAGGUACUUACUAUUCUCCUUAAGCUUGCCAACUGCUGAAUAGCAUCGCUAUGAUAUAUAGCACAGACUAUGUUAUACAACACAAAAUCUCUUGAACGUAUAAUUGCCUAAAAGCACACAGACAUACAAUUCUCCCUUUUUCAUCAAAACCAACAUUAUCCUAUAGAAAAAUCGACUGAUUUCUAAAAAGAAAAUGUGAAGGCACUGUAUUCUCCCAUUAAGAAGAGAAAGAUAAGUUUAUUCCUACAAAAGAAGACAUAAUGCUUUAAAAAGACAUAAUGACACCACCAUUUUCCAGGAUCCCUUUUGCUGAUUCCCACACAGCUUCAACUAUGCUCACUGUCUGCAGCUAAUUUUACUGCCCAUUAAAUUAAUCAUAGAUUUGUUUCCAUUUCUCAAAAUUAUCCUUGAGGAAUUUGUUUAGAUAAAAAGAUGAGAACAAUUUGGGGCAUUUUCUGGAAAAUGAUGUUUACACCUCCUCAACUGAUUUUCUGCAGCAUUUUAAAUGAAUCAAAGUGUUGCUUUUACUGUACUGCAUUUAUUGAUUAAACACAAACAAAAAUCUCAAUUGACUAAUUUUCAAUGUGGAAUGAUUACUUUUAAAAUAUUUUUUAAUCCAGUCUUGAUUAUACUGCUCUCAGAAAAGAAAAACUUGGAUGAUGUUGAGAAUUUGCUAUGAAAAGUGUUCUUUUAGAUGGAGGGUGGCCUGUUUAUCUGUCUUUUUGCUACUCUCUUGAAAAUUGUAGAAGAAACAGGAGGUGAGAUAAAAACACGCUAGUGCCUUUAGCUGGGGAGAACCAUGCCAUUUUCCAUAUGAUUUCAUUAAUUGUAUUCUUUUUCAAAAUUCAUUUUACAUUAACUAAAGAGCUGGCUGGAUAUUUCCAGAGUGCUGCUGCUCCAUUACUUCUGCCCUAUGAAUAUAUGCAUCUUUGAAGAAUGAAUCCAGAGCGCAGCUGUUUGGAGAACUUGACGCAUGUAUAAGGCUUUCUCCCUUAAGAAUAAGUAUUUCCUCUCAAGUUCAUCCUCAUUCAUCAAAGAAGGCCAAAUCUUUUAGCUAGGAGUAGUGAUUAGACACAAAUGCAAGUGCUCACCUUUGUGGUACUCUCAACGUAUAAUUGGAUUUUCCUUGUUCUAGCAAACCAGACCGAGAUAAAGUGCUCUCCCUUCAACCUUAUCGGUCCUUUUCCUCAUUUUUUCCAGCAAGAAAUAAUUAAUCCUAAUGAACAAUUAUGAUAUAGUUAAAUUGGGACCUUACUAAACUAAAUAACAGAAAAUUCAGAAAUUUUUUUUGUGGAUCUGUGCAUGGUUUUACUGAGUUUGGAAAAUACUAACACUGCUAGCAGGGGAAAAUGCAAAUAAAAAACAGAUGAACAAGCUGUAACCUGGAGAUGAAGGCAUUUUAGAUCCUUGUCUGUCAUCAAGACCUUCAUAACCGCAUCUUUUUUCCAAUAUGGGCAUGUGGUAUACACCUGCAACUUGUCAGCAAGAAACCUACUUGCAGUUUUCUUUUGGUUCCUCAAAUAGCUUUUUUAAAAAAGCUGAUCCUAAAUGGUGCUAAUGACUAUCUGGCAUACCGUAUCUACUGUCUGUUUUACUUUUGGCUUUAACUGACAUUUAAAUGAUACACCUAAUUGCUAGAUCUCAACUCAAUCUUUAGGAAUGGUUAGAAGUUACAAAAGAAGUGUUAAAAAUUGCUGAGAUAAGUGACACAACACAGCCUUAAGUCUAACUCCCGAGCCCUGGCCUAAGUAGAGAUGACAUUUCUGAAAUUAAAAAAUAAUCCAAAACAUUUAUCUACCUAAGGGAAAUGACUGCAUCAUACCCACAAAUUGUCUUUUGUUACAUGCAGCUUGGACAACAACUAUCACGUCUAUUCAAAACUUUAAACAACCAGCUGCCAGCCAGCUCCAUGAAAAACCUUCUUGCAAAUUGCCUGAUGCCAUCAAUUGCCUUGAUCUUUCUUCCAAAACCACCAUCUAUUUGAUAUCCUAGUUAUCAGUCACAGGGAGCUUUAAAUAAAAAUGCCUACACAGCCUCGUCUCCUAGUCACUAGACACUCAUUAGAAAUAACUUAUGCCUUUUGAGAUGCAAUUUAUCUAUCUUCACGGUAUUCAGUAAAAUACGAAAACAAAACAAAAUAGAGCAUGUACCUAGUCUUGGCUAACAGCAGGGAAAAUGUGUUCAUAAUUGUCCUGUUGUCAGUAGUAGUUGAGCGUCUUUGUAUAAGUAAGUAUAUAUAUUUUAAAAUACAGCAAGAAGAAAAUAUAUCUGUAGAAAAGCAUAUACUAACAAUUGUCCAUGCACAACUCAAGGUUUUCAGAAACUCCUAUACCUCAGUGCCUAAAACACAGUCUUUAGAUUGAGAGAAUAGCAGAGAACGUUUCCUAUAUAUGAUGCAAAGACCCAAAUCAGUCCCAGAUGGAGAGGGAAAAAGCAAGCUGUAAACCAGCACUACUUCCCCAGCAAUGAUAACUAAUUCUACAAGGCACUUCAUCCUUUCACAUUCUUCAGCUAUUCAUAUCAUUUUCUGGUCGUAAAUCUCUAUCCACUAAACAUGGCUUUGAUAUUAUGGGAAACCAGAUGAAACUGAGAUAAAAUAUGCAGCACUCCCUGAAGCUGCAUUUAAGCAAUCUUAUUUAUUUUUUUUUAGCCCAGAUUACAGGCCAUCAUGUUGCUGAAGCAUGGUAUAACCUACAUUUGCCCGUGAUAUUCACAUUUUCAGAUUGUUUAGUCUGAUGAAGAGCAUUGAAGAAGAUGCUUUCUCCUCAGUCAUUCCAAUUAGUUUUGUAUUCUUGUAUAGAAGAUAAAUACUGAAAUGGUGCUGCUCUUUCUGAGCCAAGAUGUCCACCCUACAUCUAUCAACCAAAGCUAACCUUUGCCAGGUAGGUUAGAGCAGCACACAAAUGUUAAUCUUUUCUUUUUAAGAGAGAGGGAGUAUGAAACUCCAUUCCUGUCCUUCCUGAAUUUAUACUCAAAAUAGCAAGAGUGCACUAUGGAACUACUCAAAGAAAAUGAUGCAGAUGAUAGAAGGAAAAAUCUGUUCUGUUUUGUUUUUUUUUUCCAAUCCUUCCAAGACUACUACUAAGGCACUUAUUUUUGCAUUAAAUUCACAGUGAGGUUGGGAUAUCUACCUUUCAUAUACACCUAAUGCCAUUCCUUGAAUUUGCAGAGUGUACAGAAGUGAGGUUUAUUUCUGCCUUUGCCUUCCCCUUUUGCCAGAGAUCUACUAUAGCACCUUUCCUCAGCUAAUUGGCAAUGAGGCUUUCUUGAUAGUUUUCCUGGAGUCAUUUACUCUCUUGCAAAUUUUAUGUGGUCACCCUGAACCACAGAGUUUCACCACAAGCUGAAAUAGCACAAGUGCUGGAACCAUUGUGCUGUGGAGUCAAUCAGCCCCAGUCUCUCUGUCUGGCACUACAAAACGUAAUGCAGAAGCACAAGGGAGGAAGACAGAUGUCUAAUGUGCUGAAGGGCGAGUGAAUAGUCUGAUGGCAAGCACUUUACUGAGCUGUGGGAGAUAAGGGCUUGAAUUUCAGCUUGGCCUCCAGCAUAUAUUUGAAAACAGUACUCCCAGCCAGCGCCUUAGUCACCAGGCUCUCAUUUGCUCAUAUUAUGAGGUCUCAUUUGUUUUCAUGCUAAAGCUACUCCACACUGUACUAUCAAGCUAUGUCAGAAAAAAACAGGAAGAUCAACUGGCAUUUUUACCUGAGCUGUGUCAUCACUUAUCCAGCACAAGUAGUCCUAAACACUGCUGGCUUCAGAUCCACCUCCAACACUGAGAAGAGCUGUACUUAAAUAGGUGAUACGGUGGAACAGAUAUCACUACAGACUCCCCCAGAAACACCUCACUUUUUGUUUGUUUUUAAAAUAUCGUAAAGUCCAAGUGCAGAGACAGUUCUGACAGAUGAUCAUGGCUACUACCACUUCCAUCAGAAGCAGCAGCAAGGAGGUUAUUCAGUAUUCUUUUUCUUUGGAUGAUGAGCAGCUAUUGAAAAGUCUCACAUAAGGAAGGGGCUACCAAGGGAAGUGGUGGAGUCACCACUCCUGGAGAUAUUUUAGAGACAUGUGGUUAUAGUACCUAGCCUUGGUAGUGUUAGGUUGGACUUGAUGAUCUUGAAGAUCUUUUUCAAUCUAAAUGAGUCUAUGAACCACAUGAAUAAUAAGAUCGCUGCGCUUACUGUACUGGACACCUGGACAGCUUCUCUAACAGUUAUCACGUGCUGGUUACUGGGAACUGAGCUGAAGAACAGAAGAAAAGCCCGUACAGCUGGGAAGUAAGAGCACUACAAAUCCACCAGGUCAACCCUUCAUUGCAUACACAGUUGUCAUGUCAAAGGGCUAGCAGCUAUUGCAAAGUUGAGACAGAGGGCACCAGGAAAGGGACACACGGAUUAUCCUUGGAAUAGCCUUGCUUCCUAGGUACCAGCAUAUUAGAAAUCAAAUUUAAGCAACUACUCACAGGCUUGUUCAUCCCUUGUGAUACGUAGUUAGUAAUACCCUGUGCAAAUAUCUGUACCAGUAGGUUAGGCAGUCACAUCCAGAAAUGCCUUUUUCUGCAGUCAAAAAAAAACAAAACAAACAAACAAAAACAGCAAACACCUGUUUUUAGCUCACCUACACACACCAUGUUUGUGAGACAGUUUACCACCAGUUGGUACUGGAACUUAGUCUAGUACUCACUUGUUCAUAAUGAAGAAAAGGUUGUUUUCCCUAUUUCCAUUAUUUUUAUAAAAUUUAAAGCAAUGGCUGUAAAGUGAGUGGAAGCCCACCUCUCUACAGCCAGUGUGCUAGCUGGAUGAUCACAACUGAGCUAUAGAGGAGAGAACAAAGUUUCCUCCCUCCAGCUACAAAAUAAACAAUAGAGCUUGUUGGUCAUAGUCUCGGGACUAUGCACAUUGCUUAAUAUCCCACAGCCAUCAGGCACGAUGAAGCAACCAACUGGCUCAAUCCUAGUGAACACCUCUGCCCUGUCCAAAGCAGGACAAGGAGGAGAAUGCUUUGUCCCUGAAGAGUCAACGCAUGAAAUAGCCACAGGAAUGCCAGGUCUGCUUUUGCUUUUCUCUCUCUCUGGAGAACUAGUUAAUCCAAAGUUUUAACCAAAUAGCCCAAAAUAAAGAACAUUUACAAAGAAUGCAAGUUAUUGAAUGACUCCUUAGUUAGACCUGAUCCUGAGCAGAUCCUGUCUUUUACCAGAUCUACAUUGAUGGGAAGGAUACACACACCACAUGUGGCCUGUAGAGCUAGAUAAAUACGUCACGUGUGGGAUUUGUCCCACUAGGCAAUUUGGAGAGGGAAUGAAGAUUCUCUCUGUGAAAAUCAAUGAGAAGACUUAAUGCGAUCUCACAGGACACAAACCUUUGCAACAAUGGAAAUAAGAGCGCUUCACUCAAAACCACAUAAAUUGGAUAAAGAAAAAAUGGAAGAAAAAAUUAACAAACAAAGAAAACUCUUUUCCUACAGCUUUUUUUUUUUUUUUUUCCUGCAAGACAACUGCACUGCUUUCUGAUAGCUUCUCAAACAUAUUCAGACAAUCCAUGUCUUACUGACAAACUUCGCUCCUCUUUCUCCUAUCUGUGAAGUGAGCAUUUGAAUUAAGAUGCGGAUGGGAAAUGAUUGUCAUUUAGUACUAUUUUGUUUUUAAUCCCACAUGACAAAAGAGCUUAUCAGCAGCCAUCUGGAAUAGUACAGUUUUCCCACAGCACUGCUGAUGUUGCUAUUUUCUAUUCUUAGCUCAACACAAGCAUAGAUGAUAGCGAGGGAUCUCGCUGUGCACAAGCAGAAUGCCGCAGUUAAUUUAUCCCAUGGAGGAAAUCACGCUGUGCUCUCAGACAGCUCCAGACAUGGAUCCGGACUCAGACUGAUCUCACCAGAAACUCUCAACCCCCUGUGACUGCUAUGGCACAUAUUGUUCCUGAAAGUAAAAUUCUGGUUAGUUGCAAUGAAACAGAUUUACUCUGUUCAGUUGCCAUGACGAGCUAAACAAUUCAGUUUUUCUUACCAAGCCUCUUUCUUGUUAAAAAAAUAAACGUCUCUGACCCACUUCUCUGCCAGACCUAGAGAGAGAAAAGCACCAUCUUCUGCUGCUAGAUUAAGCACAGGCACUUUCUUAUAGCAAUAACUUAUUUUUAACUCUUCAGCUUAAAACAACACUGCUGUUUAUGAGGUCUGAUUCACAGAUUGACAUAGUGCUACAUCAUGUAUGUGUAUGCUGCAGCCUCCAAAGAUCAUUCCUUCCAACUGCGUGGCUAAUGGCCCCAGAAGCCUGCAUUAUUAAGACAAUAAAUAUUCAUGUUUGAAAGUAAUACUCAAUCUACUGCUAGACCACCAGGGGAAGAACAUUUCUUAAACAUGCAGUAGUCCAGCUCUCAUGAUUUGCUAGAGCCAAAGAAAACUCAGAUCUUAACAACCCUAAAAACAAACCUCAGUGAGAUCUCUCUGAACAGGCAAGGCUGCAGGAGUCACGUGGGUCCUGACUCAGGCUUUCCUCAAUCCCAUCAAAAUGUCAUGGAAAACAAUCUCCAGUUCUGCAAGCAUGGAAUGAGCUAUAUUUUCAAAUAACUUAAAGGCAAACACACUAUACCCAAAAUAUAUUCAUAUGUAUGUUUUUAUGAUACAGAACAACAUAAAACUACUACCAGGAUAUAGUAUAUCUAUGUAUCAUAGAUCCCAAGGCAGCACAGCUAUGGGUCUUCCUGUUCUAUCACACCUUUAAGACAAAUUAUCGACCUCAGAAUCAUAUUGGUGUCAUUUUACUGAAUCAUCCCAUUUCCAAGAAAACAUAUUGCAUUUCCUCUGCACUGUGCACACUGAAUACAUGUGCUCAAGUUUUCCCUCCCUCUCAUGUUUCAUGACCUUGGGAUUACCUAGCAGUGCUUCCAUCUCAACAUUUGGAGAGACCAGGAGCAUCCUAUGUUGCAAACACAAAUCUUGAUUGGUACCUUACAAAAGACAUGAUUAAAAGAAGGUUCAAAAGUUUGGGAAACAGUCGGUUUGACUCCAAAUUUUAUGGGCAUUGUCACUGCAUGAUUCAUACUGCCUAGCAAACGACCAGCAGUAGUGUUACUGCAGAGAGCAUCAAAACAAUGUUAGGUAAUCUUUCAAGUCAACAAUGUAGUGCUAAAUCAGCGUGACAGAAAAACUCUAGAUCUUGAUUUUAUGUCAUUUUUGAAUUCAUCACAAAAGACUGCUUGAAGAAUAAAGGUUUGUUAGCACACACUUUGUUCUAUGUCCAGCCUUUUCAGCAGACUGUUCUUGGCCUUUUAUCUCUGCCUUUUCCCCACCCCUUUUCUGAUGGUUUUGCUUUUUAGUUUUGUCUCUAAUUGGCUAUUUAUCAUCUGUUUCAGAGUAGGAUUCUUCAGGCUUUUUGAUCAGCAUGUUUACUGCUAUGGAUGAACAGUGGGUUGCCAAAAAGAGCUUUCCCUCUGAAUCUAUUAAUUCCUGAAGUAUGGGUUAUUUUAUCCAGAUAUAUUAUCCAGUUGGAAACAGCUAGCAGAUCCUACACCACAGAAAGCACCAGGUAUUAAGCCACACGUAGAUAUUCAGAUAUUGCAGUUGGGAGUAGAAUAACUUUGCUGGGAACUGGCAGCAAGUUGCUGUUUGAACACCUGGGUCUGAAUGUCCCCAGGUUAUGAUGAUGCACUUUCAAGGUGGAGCUUUUAUUGGGAACCAUCUCUGUGCAAGCAUACAUUCAGCAAGAAAGAUGAGAUGACAGCUUUACCUUCUAUAGUACUGCUACCGAGGAAACGAACUUCCUUUGCUUUUAAAUUUUCACAAAGUCUAGAAAAAGGGGGAAACCCUGUCAUAUUGAAGUCAGUGCAAAAAUUCUAUUUGUCUGCUCUGAAGUCUGGAGACAAAAUGCUUCCAAGUUAGGAACAUUUGUGCAAUGUCUGCAGUCCUCAUCCUGGAAAUUAUUCAUAGGUAUUCCUUGCAGAAUACACUUUACACUGCAGAAUGCACAGCAUUUAAGAUACCAGUUUUCAAAAUGCAGUUUCUCUAGUCCUCCUAUUCAUAAGGACAGCUCUAAAGAAAACAUAAGUUCAUGUCAGCUGGAGAGACAGCCAGAUGCUGAAUGUCUGAGAGGGAUGAACCGCAGUCUCCACUCAGCAGACUUCUGACUGCAAUCUGACAUUGAUACUGAAUGUCAGCAUUAUUAAUCCUCUCCCUGAUGGUCGUUUAUGUGGGAACACCUGGCUCAUAUGCUUCUCUUUCUAUCCCCAGUUCUUUCUCUACACAUCAAAAACCACCACUGUCAUCUGAGAUUCAAAACACCCCUGUCCUGUCUCUUCCUAUUCUACAUGAAACCCUCUGCACCGUGAUAGUUGUUACCACUCUUUGGGGGGGGAGGAGUAAAAUGAGAGGGACCAAGUCCUGAAUCUUCAACUCCAAAGCACUUACAAAGAUAGAAAAUCAGGCAUCAAAAUGAGCUAGCCCAGCUUUAAUAUCAGAACUGACUAUGCACUGGUUCCCACUCUCCUCAUUGCAACUGCAGGAAAACUCACACUAUGAGAGCCACAGCUCCUCACCCUGGCCUGCUGCAGCAACAGUUAUGCAUGUACAAGGGGCCAGCAGUGCCCAUGCACAGUGGGACCACCUGCAAUGGAGCAGCUGUCCUGGGGAAGGUCUUGGACACAGACCCACGCGGCUCAGGCAACCUCUGUCUGUAGUUAGACAUGCACUACUGCCUGUUUGACUGACUCCUCAGCUACAGUAAAAGCAAAAAUUGUAAUAUGGGGCUAUUAAGGCAAAUUAUCACACUCUACUCAAAGGAGGACAAAGACAGCAGAAAAGGAAAGGACCCUGACAGACAGUGACAUUAAAAAGUCAUCGUGCUCUUAUUGUAUGAUUAACUUAGACUUCAGCCUGUGGUAAAAAGCUUAGCAAUCAAGGUUUCAACACUAUUUACCAUUUUUUUCCUUUUCUUUUAAAAUGUUCCUAGCUAAUUUUGCACAAACAAGAAAACAUGAACAACACAGCAAGGCAAGAAUAACUUGUGAGUAAAACCAGAUGAACACUAACAUAUUUACAUAGUGUAAUGACUUCACUAUUAAUUCAAACAAACCCAGGCCCCAAUUCUCAGAAGACUGAGCUGAGCACAUGUGGUCCAGGAGACAAGAACAGGGUGGCUCAGACUGCACUGAUGUCGGCAGCCCCUGAGCAAGUAGGGGCUGCUCAAAGUUUCAGUCUACAAUAGCCACUGAGGGACCAUCUUUCAUUCCAGACAUCAUACUCUGCCUACACCCUCUUCUUGCUCAUGAAUUAACUAUAUAUAGAUCAGAUCUGGUCCCCAUCCUCAGAAUAAGCUGAUUCUGCAGCUAAGAAUUCUAUUUAUCCUUCUCCCUGCUACAUUUUACUGUAUCUUCUGAAAAUACAUCUUUUAAAGCACACUCUUCUGGUCUGAAAAUAAUAUUCUUUAUGUGGAGCUAUGGAAUCUCUUCCUUGUUCCUAGAUGUCUUGGAAGUUAAUCAACAUAAAGCCAUUAAAAAGCUUAAUCCCCUAUGCUUGGCACAACAUCAGUCUGAGAAUGGUUUCUUUGUAACAGCCUUUGGAAUAAAUAUCCAUUCAAGAUUUGUUUUUUCCUUAUACUGGUCACCCGCACUUUACAGUGGGUGGCCCUUUCAUUUAUCCCCAUUACUGUACUUCCACUUCUGAAGCUAAGCCAGACACAGCAACCUGAUACUACUUUUUUGUUCAUGCAACUCCAUUGUAAUGAAAAGUUCCACAUAUAACUGAUAUUUGUUGGGAAAGCCAAAGAAACAGGAACCAUGGUAAAAUUGCACCACCUUCUUGACAACUUUAAUUCUGAAAGAGUUGGGUUCUCCAGGAGAACACUUUGUUGGCAAGCAUGUUUUCACAUUUAGAUGCCUCGGAAUACAAACACAGUCAGUCCAUUCCUGAACACCUCUGGUUGGUAGUAUUUGCAUGACAGCC
rnacentral:lncRNA from 1 species